GGCAGAGACUGUGGCUCAGUGGUAGAGCUUCUGCUUGGCAUGUAAAAGGUUCCAGCCGUCAUCCCUGGAAUCAUUAGUUGAAGGAUCUGGCUCUAAUCUGGGGAACCGGGUUUGAUUCCCCGCUCUGCCA
rnacentral:tRNA from 1 species